rnacentral:rRNA from 1 species
GAUGAACGCUAGCUACAGGCUUAACACAUGCAAGUCGAGGGGCAGCAUGAACUUAGCUUGCUAAGUUUGAUGGCGACCGGCGCACGGGUGAGUAACACGUAUCCAACCUGCCGAUGACUCGGGGAUAGCCUUUCGAAAGAAAGAUUAAUACCCGAUGGCAUAGUUCUUCCGCAUGGUAGAACUAUUAAAGAAUUUCGGUCAUCGAUGGGGAUGCGUUCCAUUAGGUUGUUGGCGGGGUAACGGCCCACCAAGCCUUCGAUGGAUAGGGGUUCUGAGAGGAAGGUCCCCCACAUUGGAACUGAGACACGGUCCAAACUCCUACGGGAGGCAGCAGUGAGGAAUAUUGGUCAAUGGACGAGAGUCUGAACCAGCCAAGUAGCGUGAAGGAUGACUGCCCUAUGGGUUGUAAACUUCUUUUAUACGGGAAUAAAGUGAGGCACGUGUGCCUUUUUGUAUGUACCGUAUGAAUAAGGAUCGGCUAACUCCGUGCCAGCAGCCGCGGUAAUACGGAGGAUCCGAGCGUUAUCCGGAUUUAUUGGGUUUAAAGGGAGCGUAGGCGGACGCUUAAGUCAGUUGUGAAAGUUUGCGGCUCAACCGUAAAAUUGCAGUUGAUACUGGGUGUCUUGAGUACAGUAGAGGCAGGCGGAAUUCGUGGUGUAGCGGUGAAAUGCUUAGAUAUCACGAAGAACUCCGAUUGCGAAGGCAGCCUGCUGGACUGUAACUGACGCUGAUGCUCGAAAGUGUGGGUAUCAAACAGGAUUAGAUACCCUGGUAGUCCACACAGUAAACGAUGAAUACUCGCUGUUUGCGAUAUACAGUAAGCGGCCAAGCGAAAGCGUUAAGUAUUCCACCUGGGGAGUACGCCGGCAACGGUGAAACUCAAAGGAAUUGACGGGGGCCCGCACAAGCGGAGGAACAUGUGGUUUAAUUCGAUGAUACGCGAGGAACCUUACCCGGGCUUGAAUUGCAACUGAAUGAUGUGGAGACAUGUCAGCCGCAAGGCAGUUGUGAAGGUGCUGCAUGGUUGUCGUCAGCUCGUGCCGUGAGGUGUCGGCUUAAGUGCCAUAACGAGCGCAACCCUUAUCGAUAGUUACCAUCAGGUGAUGCUGGGGACUCUGUCGAGACUGCCGUCGUAAGAUGUGAGGAAGGUGGGGAUGACGUCAAAUCAGCACGGCCCUUACGUCCGGGGCUACACACGUGUUACAAUGGGGGGUACAGAAGGCAGCUACACGGCGACGUGAUGCUAAUCCCGAAAGCCUCUCUCAGUUCGGAUUGGAGUCUGCAACCCGACUCCAUGAAGCUGGAUUCGCUAGUAAUCGCGCAUCAGCCACGGCGCGGUGAAUACGUUCCCGGGCCUUGUACACACCGCCCGUCAAGCCAUGGGAGCCGGGGGUGCCUGAAGUGCGUAACCGCGAGGAGCGCCCUAGGGUAAAACUGGUGACUGGGGCU